GGCAUAAAAAAGGGAUAGAACUGGUAUAAAAAGGACGGAAGUGGUAGGAGAAAGGAUGGAAGUGGUAUAAACAGGGGGUGGAAGUGCUAUAAAAGGGGGAUGGAAAUGGUGUAAAAAGGGAUGGAAGAGGCAUAAAAAAGGGAUGGAAAUGGUAUAAAAAGGGACAGAAACAGUGUAAAGAAGGGACGGAACUGGCAUAAAAAAGGAUGGAAUUGGUAUAAAAAAGGAUGGAAGUGGCAGGAAAAAGGAUGGAACUGGCAAAAAAAGGGAUGGAAAUGGCAUAAAAACAGGAUGGAAAGGGCAUAGAAAAGGGAUGGAACUGACAUAAAAAUGGAUGAAAAUGGUAUAAAAAGGGGUGGAAACUGCAUAAAAAAAGCAUGAAACUGGUAUAAAAAAAUACGGAACUGGCAUAAAAAAUGAUGCAAGUGGCAGUAAAAGCACCUGCGGGUCCCCAGUGCCCAGUGCUCGUUACCCCUUGCAUGGUGCAUGGUGCUCUUUACCCAUUUUACGGAGCUCAUUGCCCAUUGCACAUUGCAUGGUGCUCUUUACCUAUUGCACAGUGCCCAUUACCCAUUGCACAGUGCUCGUUACCCCUUCCAUGGUGCUCUUUACCUAUUGCACAGUGCACGGUGCCCGUUACCCAUUGCACAGUGCUCGUUAUCCCUUCCAUGGUGCUCUUUACCUAUUGCACAGUGCCCAUUACCCAUUGCACGGUGCUCGUUACCCUUGCACGG
rnacentral:lncRNA from 1 species